rnacentral:tRNA from 1 species
GUCCCCUUAGUAAAAUGGAUAUUAUAAGACCCUCCUAAGGUUUAGGUGCAGGUUCGAUUCCUGCAGGGGACGCCA